UGCACAUGUGGGCUCAAUUAAAUAGAGUAGGCUGGACGGAGAAGCACUGGACAGUUAUCUUUACAAGAAAAUGUACUUCCUAAAUAGGCCUAUGAUUAGGUUAUAGUUUACUACAUUACCUAGAAAUAGCCCUAAAUAUUGAUCACCCAUAUUUCUCCGUCUUCCCACUGUUAAAAGAUGAGAAGAGACCCAACUGGCUGGAUGAUUAUCUCACUACACUCCCACAUGUCAAGAUGAGAAGAGACCCAACUGGCUGGAUGAUUAUCUCACUACACUCCCACAUGUCAAGAUGAGAAGAGACCCAACUGGCUGGAUGAUAAUCUCACUACACUCCCACAUGUCUUGAAAUAUGCAGACAGAUUUCUACUGGAAGCUUUGGAGGACCUCGACACAAGCCUGCGGACACUAAAUUCGAGGCUAUUCGUAGUACGAGGCCAGCACACAGAUGUCUUUCCAAUACUUU